CAGGUAUCACAGGGUACUGUUUGCAUGGGCUACAGUUAGUGUAGCUCACAGCCAUCAAAGAUAACAGGUAUCACAGGGUACUGUUUGCAUGGGCUACAGUUAGUGUAGCUCACAGCCAUCAAAGAUAACAGGUAUCACAGGGUACUGUUUGCAUGGGCUACAGUUAGUGUAGCUCACAGCCAUCAAAGAUAACAGGUAUCACAGGGUACUGUUUGCAUGGGCUACAGUUAGUGUAGCUCACAGCCAUCAAAGAUAACAGGUAUCACAGGGUACUGUUUGCAUGGGCUACAGUUAGUGUAGCUCACAGCCAUCAAAGAUAACAGGUAUCACAGGGUACUGUUU